GCCACCGUGGUCUAGCGGUUAGAACGCUGGCCUUGUAAUCCUGGGGUCUCGGGUUCGAUUCCCGGUGGUGCCC
rnacentral:tRNA from 1 species